rnacentral:rRNA from 1 species
CCUACGGGUGGCAGCAGUGGGGAAUAUUGGACAAUGGGCGAAAGCCUGAUCCAGCCAUGCCGCGUGUGUGAAGAAGGCCUUCGGGUUGUAAAGCACUUUCAGUGGGGAAGAAAGCCUUGGGGCUAAUACCCUCGAGGAAGGACAUCACCCACAGAAGAAGCACCGGCUAACUCCGUGCCAGCAGCCGCGGUAAUACGGAGGGUGCGAGCGUUAAUCGGAAUUACUGGGCGUAAAGCGCGCGUAGGCGGUCUGAUAAGCCGGUUGUGAAAGCCCCGGGCUCAACCUGGGAACGGCAUCCGGAACUGUCAGGGUAGAGUGCAGGAGAGGAAGGUAGAAUUCCCGGUGUAGCGGUGAAAUGCGUAGAGAUCGGGAGGAAUACCAGUGGCGAAGGCGGCCUUCUGGACUGACACUGACGCUGAGGUGCGAAAGCGUGGGUAGCAAACAGGAUUAGAUACCCGAGUAGU